AUUGUCAUCUUAAAGCACCCAUGCCUUUUCCAUUCUCCUUCGUUUUCAACAGCAGACGCACAACACCAGCAAUAUUUACCCAGAAAAGAACUAACCCAAUUCCCAAAUCUUCCGCUUAAAUUUCCUCUUUUCUACCUCAAAUUCGUACAGCAAGAGCAUGCUUGGCACGAGACCAAACACACGCGGAGAUUCCGGAGGUAACCAUGGUAUGGUCAUGUAAAAUUUCUUUGUUUCUUUUGAAUUUCAUUUCAUAUUUGUACGAUUCGAGCUCACUGGAGUCUGAGCCUCUAAGAAAAAUUUUCAAAAUAUUGGCUUCUCUCACAUAGAAAGUAUUCUCAGAAUUUGGAGGUUUUGGGUGCUAUAAAAGCCCCUCUCCUCACUGUUCAAGCGAGGUUUUUGGACUCGAGAGUAGUACCGCUAUAAUGUUUAGGACUUCUCAGUUCAAUAAUUUAAAGUUUUGUGGUUGUUCGAGUUGAAGAGGUGGAAUCGUUUCUAUUCAAAU
rnacentral:misc_RNA from 1 species